rnacentral:rRNA from 1 species
AUUGAACGCUGGCGGCAUGCCUUACACAUGCAAGUCGAACGGUAACGGGCCUUCGGGUGCCGCCGAGUGGCGAACGGGUGAGUAAUACAUCGGAACGUGCCCGAUCGUGGGGGAUAACGAGGCGAAAGCUUUGCUAAUACCGCAUACGAUCUACGGAUGACAGCAGGGGACCGCAAGGCCUUGCGCGGACGGAGCGGCCGCUGGCAGAUUAGGUAGUUGGUGGGAUAAAAGCUUACCAAGCCGACGAUCUGUAGCUGGUCUGAGAGGAUGAUCAGCCACACUGGGACUGAGACACGGCCCAGACUCCUACGGGAGGCAGCAGUGGGGAAUUUUGGACAAUGGGCGCAAGCCUGAUCCAGCCAUGCCGCGUGCAGGAUGAAGGCCUUCGGGUUGUAAACUGCUUUUGUACGGAACGAAAAGCCUUCUUUUAAUACAGGAGGGUCAUGACGGUACCGUAAGAAUAAGCACCGGCUAACUACGUG